CCGGCACUCAUUCAUCCACACUGCAGCGCGGAAAGGGCACGGGGUGGCAAAUCCGUGAAGCCAGAAGCACGAUUGCCAAACUUUCCACUCCUUCCACCUUUUAGCAAACGAAAGUGCAUUAAUGUGCACUGGUUACAAGCUGGACAUCACUUAGAGCUUGUUGGCCGCUCUAUUUCACGGAUUAAAUCUCCCUCCUUGUUGAUUAGGCUUGAAAGUUGCAAAGACCAAACAGCAAAGAAAUAUGUCCUUUUAAUGAAAAGGACAUAUUUCACACUUAGCAACAAGAUGACCUGAGAAGCAGGACUGGCACAGAAUGAACAUACUUGGUGACCACCUUGGAAAGACAAUUAUGGUUCUUUUGAAAGACCAUUGAGUAGAGACAUUGCUUCAAUAUUUAUCUUAAAUUCUGCCAAAUUUCUAGGAACCACCAUAUAAGUACUGUUUCAGGCAGCAUCUCCUGCAAAGGGAGAGAUGAAACUGCCACAUUAGAAAGUAAAUACUUACUAUCAGCUCUAUCAACAGCAACAUUUCCACUUCUGCCCUGAGCUGUUGGAGGUUUUCCUAGGAGAGAACUGCAGAUGAACGAUGUAAUGAGAAGUAUCAGCUACUGAAGACAGAAAAUGUUUAUGCUCAUAAUAAUGCCUACAAAUAUAAAUUGUGCUUAUAAUAUUUCUGUAGCUUCUAAUGCUUAUAAGAGAGAAAUUCUAUUCUAAAGACCUGAAGUAAUUAAAAUGAGUAAUAAUGAGGUUCUAAAAGGAAUAUGGAGUAAG